GGUGGUCAUAGCGGAGGGGAAACGCCCGGUUACAUUCCGAACCCGGUAGCUAAGCCCUCCAGCGCCGAUGGUACUGCACUC
rnacentral:rRNA from 1 species